rnacentral:rRNA from 1 species
UACGAAGGGGGCUAGCGUUGCUCGGAAUCACUGGGCGUAAAGCGCACGUAGGCGGAUUGCUAAGUCAGGGGUGAAAUCCUGGAGCUCAACUCCAGAACUGCCUUUGAUACUGGCGACCUUGAGUCCGGGAGAGGUGAGUGGAACUGCGAGUGUAGAGGUGAAAUUCGUAGAUAUUCGCAAGAACACCAGUGGCGAAGGCGGCUCACUGGCCCGGUUCUGACGCUGAGGCGCGAAAGCGUGGGGAGCAAACAGG